GUCGGUUUCCACCAAUGGUUUUAUUACAACACCAAUUGCAGUAAUUUUGAAAGCUGGAUUCUGGAUUUAGAAUUAUGUUCAAAGUUACAACCAUACGUCCCUUUGGCCUCGGGAUUCUACAACUUUAGAUUUUGGGUGGUGAAAUGGAUAAGAACUAGCUUAGCUAAAGCAUGCUUAUGGGCGUUUUACAUGGGUCCAUCAAGGAAGGAUGCAUGCAUGCAACCACUUGGGUUGUUACAUAAUGUUUCCAGAGCUAGUUUGUUGGUUGUCUCCUCCCUCAAGGGUUAGAGUAUGAAAUCUGCAGAAACUGGAGUAAUGUUGAACGGGAAGUGGAUUUUUUAGGAGUUAAAAGUAUUAUAGGCUUUGGUUAUUGGAAAUGAGUAGAAGGAAGGUUGCAUGCAUUCAUAAAUCCAACUGCAUACUUCGAGGAAAAGCUCAUUUUCUUUUUCACCCACAAAAAAAAAAAAAAACCUAUGCAAUUUGAUCUUAAGAAUUAUACAUGGCUAUUUUGGUACCUACGUCGUAUUUCUUUCCAGGUUUUCUGUCAUUACAUAGGCCGACAGAAACGUUAUCCUUGGGGCUAGGUGUUGAGUUUGUCAUGCUAUGAGAGUAUUGUGUCUUCCCCGUCGGGCGGUUGGACAUUGCCACCAACCUUGAUGGGUGCAGCCCGUGUGAGCCGACUGACCAAGCUCUUGAUCUCUAAUUAUAUAUAGACCUCUGAUACUUUCUUGUGAAUGUCGAUCGGAUCAAAUGGAAUUUGAAGAAGCCAUUUAUGUGUUGAGAGUAUUGUGUCUUCACCGUCGGGCCUUUGGACAUUGCCACCAACCUUGAUGGAUGCAGCCCAUGUGAUGUGAGCCAACUGACCAAGCUCUUGAUCUCUAAUUAUAUAUAGACCUCUGAUACUUUCUGGCGAAUGUUG
rnacentral:lncRNA from 1 species